GGCUAAAAUAAUUUUUAAUUAUUUAUUUAUUUAUUCAUUAUUAAUGUUAAUAAUAACGGCCGUCUGAGCCUACCGGAAGUUCCAGACGAUAGCGGCCGUGACGUCACAAGAUGGGCCCAGUUCUGAUUCUAAACAUGGCGGAGACUUUGGAAAGUGAUACAUGUGCGAGAGAAAUGAUUGAUUUUGACAGCUUUUCGGACAGGAUAGAUGAGGAAAGCGGCACAGAAGAUGGAAGUGACGAUGAGGAAGCGCAGGACAUCAUUGAACCCUACAGAUUUGAGCCGUCAGGGACGUCAAGUGGGGAGGAUGAUGGCGACGACAUGGACGAUGGGGAAGACAUUGACCGGCUACAGAACACUGAAUGGUGUCAGUGUGCGACAACUGUAACAACAUGGACACUGUAGCCGAGAUGUCUGCUGUCGGGAAAUCCCCGCUGUCACCAGGACCAUGGAGGAGGAUGGUGUCCACAGCUGCAUAAUGCACCACCCGGCUUCUCGAUCUGGCCUGGUCUAGACAUCUGUGGCGUGCUGCGUAUAGCAUUACUGUGGAUACAGGCAACAUUAUGGCCAUCUCCAGCAAGAGGGCAAUGAACGCCACCCGAUACACAGCCUACCGCCAGCUGGUGGAGACUUUGCUUGGCGUUACCUAGGCUGUGUGUACGCGACAUAAUAGAGUGUGCCACUGGCCCGUAUCUUGUGCAGUGAACCCAAAUUUCCGU